GUAACUCGCAUGAAAAGGCCCUUUAUUUUCUGGAUUCCUUGUGUGGACAAAACCUGCACAUUAACUAGCUCCUCUAAAAAUCAGAAAGAAAAAAACCCAAUACGGUCUUGUCUCAGAAACUUUUGCUGAUUUUACACAUUACAAGCAUUUUUUUUCCACCAAGGCGAAAUCCACACGUAUAAAGGGGUCCAUGACAGGGUUUUAGAUACAAACCCCCGCUAAGUCAACACAACGGGUCCACACUUUAAAUUCGGAAACUUCAAACUCGCCAACUGUCGCCCUUACCUGUUUCACAUGCCUUCGGUUCAAAAGUGACUGCUGCAUCUCGAAAGCCACGUUCCCUGGGCUCCCUUCGUCACCCCCACGCCCGGGGUGAGACAACAACAACAGCAACAACAACAAAAGCCCUUUUAUGUUAAGUAGGAAAACAAAAUGAAAUCCCCGGGCAAGAUGAUUCCGUUGCUAGCCAAAAGUAAGAAGUGUCCGCCUUGACCAAUGGAAUCCAACAGAAGGAGAAGAAAGUUUGGGACUUUAUAAACUCGGAUCGUUGCAAAAAUGAAAAGGGGAGUGGACUGGAGGGAAGGAAGAAGGAAUGAGAGAGGCGAAUCGCUGCAGAAGCGCAGCGCCCAAGUUUUGUUGGAGGGAGAAAGAAAGAGUGAACUGAAGGCAAACGGCUCCUCCUCCUCCUCCCCUAAGAAAUAACACUCGUGAGUCCCAGUGACGCUGGGAAAGUUUAGGGAAGAAGCUAAGAUUCAGGAAGGGGGGGGGGAGACUAGAAGGAAGGGAGAAGGGAGGGGAAAGAAAACGAGGGAGGGGAUUGUUGUCUUGUUUAGAAAACGAGGAGGGCCUGGAGGUACUGGCCGUCGGUGCUGUGGGGCGAUUGGAAGGCGCGGGCGGCUGCGUAGCUUGCGAGGGGGAGCUGCUGCUUGAGGAGCCGCCGCCGCCGACCUGGGAGUCACAGCGCAGGAAUGCUAAGAAUGCGGAGCGGCCGCCGCUGCCACUACGGCAGCGCCGGACGGAGGCGUCGAGCGAGCGAGAAUGGCACAAGUUGCUGGCAAGGCAGGAAGAAGAAGGGAAGAGAGGAGAAGACUGCAGCGGGACUCUCAGGCAGGAACGCGGCGAGCCGUUCCGUCCUCGGGCUUUGCAGGAGGGGCGCCAGCGGCCGCGUCGGUGUCCCCUUCGUUGCGCGCGCUUAAUCGCGAGAAAAGGAAAGAAACCUGAUCGGCGCCCCGUCAAGUGUGAACAGGCCUGGUGUUGGGGGAGCGAGGAGGUGCGGAGUGGAAUGGUUGAAGGAUACAGGCCGGGGGAACCGGGGGAGAGAGAGGGGGGGAUGUGGAAAGCUUGGAAUGUGGAGAGCCGGCAAACGCAUGAGUCCUUUGUGGAGGGGAAAUUUCGGGAGAAGGAAGUUGCAUUUGCGCCUUAGGAAAGUUAGGUUGGAGAGGCACCGUCUGGAGGGAAGUCAGAACGAAGGCGGUUGCUCCUCCUCGUCCGCCGCCACGGCAUGGAGAAAGAGGUGAAGCUUCGGUGGAUCUUGCGGCCGAAGGGGUUUAUCGUGCUUCGUCCGGCCCGUGUGUGCGAUCACGUUGUAAAGUUUCGCCUGUCGCCGGGCCUGCUUUUGCCCCUCGGCCUGGCGUCUUUCCCGGGCCUUGUGCUGUGCCGGCUUUCCUGCUAACGUCGGAAAGUUUUUGUUAAACAAAAAAAGGAAAAGUGCAGAAAUCUUGCCGCGUGGAGAGAGACCAAACACCCCCACCCUCGCACGUCCUGCUUAAAACAAACACUGAAAUAAACAAGACACAAUAAUGAUUAUUCA
rnacentral:lncRNA from 1 species